rnacentral:rRNA from 1 species
GUAGGGAAUAUUGGGCAAUGGUCGGAAGACUGACCCAGCCAUGCCGCGUGCAGGAAGACGGCCCUCUGGGUUGUAAACUGCUUUUAUCUGGGAAGAAAAAGGCCAUGCGUGGCAAAUUGCCGGUACCAGAUGAAUAAGCACCGGCUAACUCCGUGCCAGCAGCCGCGGUAAUACGGAGGGUGCGAGCGUUGUCCGGAUUUAUUGGGUUUAAAGGGUGCGUAGGCGGCUGAUUAAGUCAGCGGUGAAAGACUUCGGCUUAACCGGAGCAGUGCCGUUGAUACUGGUUGGCUUGAGUGUCGGAGGGGUACAGGGAAUUGAUGGUGUAGCGGUGAAAUGCAUAGAUACCAUCAGGAACACCGAUAGCGAAGGCAUUGUACUGGCCGACAACUGACGCUGAUGCACGAAAGUGUGGGGAUCGAACAGGAUUAGAUACCCGAGUAGUCC